rnacentral:rRNA from 1 species
AUCUACAGCCAUGCUACCCUGAACAAGCCCAAUCCCAUCUGAUCUCGGAGCUAAGCGGGGUUAGGCCUGGUUAGUACUUGGAUGGGAGACCACGUAGGAAGACCAGGUUCUGUAGGUG